GAUGAACGGCCAGACGUGUGGACACCUGUGGGAUGGCACUGGCUAGGAGGCGGCCGGACGCUGAGAUAGCGGCACUGAGACCGGUUCCAAGUGACAGGAGCCGGAGAAGGAGAGGGACUCAACGAUUGAAGACCAGGCCUGAACACACUGAAGACACGCUUGCUCCUCCUGUCACCAGCCCACGCCUCCCAGGCUCGCAGAGCCUUCGUCACAGGCUUCGUAGGUCAGCGCCUGCUCUCUGUUGGCUUCUUUCUUUCCUCGUUACCUCUUCCAGGAUGGACCAUACCUACGUAAAUAUCACCCCAGUGUUCCUCCACUCUUUCCUCCAGUCUGCUCUCGGUCUUCUCAGCCCCGUUCCCCUCCAAGCCCACCCCUGGGAAGCCUGCCCGGGACUAGACCGCCCCUGCCUGUCGGUGUUCCCCCGCAAGUCCCUGCCUCUGAACAUCCCCACAUCCGUUCACUACCCCAGAUCUAGGACUGAGAGUUUCGUAGGGGGGUGGGGAGAACUGACCUUGUAGGCCUCUUUACCCUCAGAGGCAAUGACUCAAAAACCCGAGCAAGACAAAGACCCCAAUGUGUUUUUGUUGUUGUUUGGUUGGGUAACGUGCAGAGAAGGGGAAGGCUACCCACGCACGGUCUCUAUCGAGGUCUUCCAACGGAACUUCCCUAUCCUUGGUGGAAACAUUGGCAGGUGAUGUCCCUCGCUGUACAGAGGGACUGCCAUGACUACAGGAGCAGAAAAAUGCCACAGUCUACACCUGACAGAACCCACGCCCACCCCAGCUCCAUAGCUGACUUCCUCUCCAUCCUGACUUUUGCAGGAGGCGCUCUGGACUUGAGUCAGGAUAUGGCUUCUAUCAUUUAUUUUGUUCUUAGUUUUGUUGAUUGUUUUAGCAAGUGUUGCAAACCCACAGUAUCAACAGUUAGUGUAGGAAACAUAAGCCUGGCAUGCCAAUAUUGUGACUAUUUAACUUUCUGAAGUCUAUGGAUUCCAAAAGAUGAGGAUUUCAAGAUGAAGGCAGCCUUGGCCAUGUGAGAAGAUCUCUCUCUCUCUCUCUCUCUCUCUCUCUCUCUCUCUCUCUCUCUCUCUGACAGAUACACAGAGUGGGGAGGUGGGGGAGAAACACAGAGUGGACUUCAAUAUUGGCAACAGUUCUCUCUGUGAUAAGAUGAUAGAAUCUCUGUUUGCCUUCUUGAUUAAUUAAUUCCUCCCUUCCCUUUCUUUUAACAAGGUAUCAAGUAGCCCAGGCUGGCCUGGAACUUACUAUGUAGCUAAGGAUAACCUUGAAUUCCUGAUCCUCCUUCCUGUCAGAAUUACAAACAUGCAUUUACCACACCUGGCUCUGAUUCUUUUUUUCCUAUUAAACUUUUGAUCGUCUCUAUUUUCCUCACAGUGAAUGUGUAGAACGUCUUAAGGACUGGGGUAAAAUGAGAGCCAUCUGUGACCCUUGAUCUCCAGAGCUGUUAUCAGUAUUGGACCCCCCAUCUUUGUUACCCAGGUAUUUGUGCAUAGGUAUAAUUGUGAUGUACUUACAAUGCUCUAUUCUGCUUUUUAAAAACCCACAUCGUAUGUUAAUAGUCCUCAGAAGCGUAAUUUUAGUGGUUGUAUAGUAAUCCAUUAAAGAGGCACACUAUAACUUAACCUAG